CUGUGCUAGCGUCCCGUCUUGGCCCGACUGGUGCCAAUGUGUGUAUGCUAGUGUGCUUCUAAAGUUCACAUUUCCAUAAAAGGGACUACUCACAACAAAGUAGAGAGCUGGUUUUGCUUCUGCCUACCCACGGGCAAACCAGACGAAAGGUUCGUGUAUCGAAUAUUAUAAUUUGUUUACCCAGUAUAUCUGUAAUAAAGCCAAUUUCUUGAAGCUGUUGUCAUAUAUUGAUCUGGUUCCGUUUUAGCCAUGAUUCAUAACAGUCUAGGCGAUUUUGCUCCCUCAUCUCGGUUCAUCUCCUCCCCACUCGUAAUAAAAUACAACAGGGUAGGAAGCUCCACGCCCUGGCAAACACAUCUUCGACUUUCUUUUUCGGCAGAAAACGCACAGCUUUUCCCUUCAAAAUCAAUCAUAGAAGAAUAGUUUCUAAACAAACCUUUCGAAAAAAAAAUAUUCCAAAAUACCAGAAUUUCCCUGCAAUUUUUCGCUGCAAUAUCGAAAUUAAUCGUUCUUCCAGGGCUGACAAACAGUCGGUCCCCUGAGCGCGGUCGGGGCCUGGACACAAUACAUAAAUCAAAUGUCUCAUCACAUUGCAUUGUAUUUUCUAUUGUGCCCAGGCCCCGACCGACCGAUCUUUUUCAGCGCGCUUUUGAAAAAGGUCUUAUAUUUUAUAUACUUUUAUUUUUUAAUCGCAAAUUGAAUUAUUUCUAAUUCUAUGUAAGUUUAUAACAUGACAAUAAUGCCAUUUUUAUCCUUUGGAUCUUUAAGAGAAAAUUGCUAUAUAAAUCUAUUUAUUAUUAAUAUUAUUGUUCCUUGAAUUCGUAUGACAGAUUACUCGUCCACUUAUCUUGUAGUUGAUCUGGUAGGAUUUCGUCCCAUGAAUAUCCAACAUUCCAAAUUUCUUGUAGGUCGAUGAUGGUGAAGAUGACCUGUGCGAGGCACUAGAGAGGCUCUCCAUUGAUGAGGGACGAGAUGCGAACCAGACGGGCUGGCUAACAUUUACAUUCAGGGUGGUGAAGAGUAUUUUCGUGAUUCGUGAUUGACCCUAAAUUAAACCCGUGAUUCGUGAAAAGCCUAAAAAUAAACCCGUAAUUCGUGAUUGAGUACUCUAUCGUGAUCCGUGAUUGGGGUAUUUUUACUUUCGUGACUCGUGAUUUCGCAUGGCUAAAUUCGUGAAACGUGACCGUUGACGCCGAAAAUAAUUAAAACACGAAUACAUGUAAGAGAUUUCCGAAUAAACAUGACCUUUGUUUAGAUUGUUGACCUCUUGCUGUGCUAGUUUUUAAAAUAAAUAUAAAUAUCCGAUGUAUCAAGUGUCUUAGUUUGUGUGACACUACUCCACCAAUACUUGACAGCGCUAUUGUUUUAUCUUAAGUAUGAUUGGUUAAGUAACAUAAAUCCAGGUCAGUUUUGACGGACUCGUCAAACGCUAACGAUAGUCCAGUCAUUUUUCGAAGCUUGCAUUGUUGCAUAAACGUGGCGUAUUUACAAAGAUCACGACUUAUACCUUGCAUCGUGGAUGGAGAGUUCUGAUCCUAGCGUCAAAGUUAUUUUGACGUUCUACUUAACUCAGCAAGAGAAAACAGAGACAAAAUCUGCUGUAGUACACAAGGAAAAAUUAAAUGUCCCCUUGUCGAUCGAGAAGCAUAAAGUAUUUGAAGUAUUCAAGAAACAUCUGAUUUCAUUUACAACACUGUAGGAAAUCGUCCUUAGUAAAGGUCUCGGGGCAAAUCCCGAAGUAACAGUCGUAAGAAUACAGAAGGGAGGCGCCUCGAUUGAAGCAUAUAGUAUAAGGACGCAGGAUUCGUGGGAG